GAAAAGGUUCCUUUCGUGUAUCUUGGAUUUCGUGCACGAACCAUUUUUCUCUUCUAUUAUAUUUUUCUCUCUCAGAAAAAGGCAAAAACACUCUUUUUUUUUUUUUUGGCUUUUGAAGUUCGAAGGCCGUGCCUUUCAUGGUGUUUCUCUCAUGCUGCUUCAGUCCCAGAGAGCUGGUUACUUACCCCACUACGUUCGAAGACAAUAGUGAUCUAGUUGAUGCCAGCUGUAAGGAUUAUGAUCUCUUCGAGCAUUGAACAUGAAAGAUUACUUGCUACAAGGCACUGGAGAAAUAAUGGAUUAAUAUAAUUGAGAUUUGGAGUGGGGAAUGAAGCCAUCGGUCCGUGUAUCACAGGGUAGAUGUAUUAUAUUUGACAGUUUCUGUAAAUUGUUAAUGGAUUCUGAAAGUCUUCUGCUGAUAGAGAUGAUAUAAAAUUUCUAUUUUUUCUUUCAAUUUUCA